rnacentral:lncRNA from 1 species
AGAAAACUCAUCAGGGCCAUUUAGUAUCCUGCACACAUACUUUUUAUUGCCGUAGCUGCAGAAGAGGUGAAUACAAUAGAAUCUAUCUCUGAGAAUGAGAAGCACAAAUCUGUGGACAGAUCCACAUUCAGUGGAGCCCUGACAGCUUUGAACCACUCUUCCAGCUUCCAUUGGCUCUGGAGUUCUCCCAGCAGAAGCACACAUCCAAUAGACUUGAAGCUGAAAUUUAUCUUUGCAGUCAAGGCUUUGAGGACUUCCCAUAGUUAUGUUUGUGUGAAUUGAAUAUAUAUCUCUAAAUUCUAAUGGUCGCCAGAGCUUUGAGUCAUUUCUAUGAAGCUCRUCAUAAUCUCUGAACCCUUCUCAGAAUUAGUCUCCCAGCUUGUGGCAGACAGAUGAGUGAACUUUUGCCUUAAACAUUUCUUGGUACAUAAGGUGCAAGCAAACCAUAACCCCGAACAAACCAUCUGUUCCCGGCGGAAACAGGACUGAGCUGCUGCGACCCCYGAAAUGGUCUCCCUGCGACCACCCAGGACACACCGAGCCUGCGCYGAACCAGGGCACGAUCGGACAGAGACUUUGGGACCUGGACUGUAAAUUAUUGCCACUUAACACAACUUUUAUAAAACUUGCUUAGCAUGAGUAGCUAAAUUUGCUGAAGCCUUAGGCCGCACUCCCUAGUUCAGUGAGAAAGGGCCCCAGAGCUGGUGCAGACUGGAAGGAUAAGGGAGUUACAAGCAG